rnacentral:rRNA from 1 species
AUUGAACGCUGGCGGCAGGCCUAACACAUGCAAGUCGAGCGGAUGACGGGAGCUUGCUCCUUGAUUCAGCGGCGGACGGGUGAGUAAUGCCUAGGAAUCUGCCUGGUAGUGGGGGACAACGUUUCGAAAGGAACGCUAAUACCGCAUACGUCCUACGGGAGAAAGCAGGGGACCUUCGGGCCUUGCGCUAUCAGAUGAGCCUAGGUCGGAUUAGCUUGUUGGUGAGGUAAUGGCUCACCAAGGCGACGAUCCGUAACUGGUCUGAGAGGAUGAUCAGGCACACGGGAAAUGAGACACGGUCCAGACUCCUACGGGAGGCAGCAGUGGGGAAUAUUGGACAAUGGGCGAAAGCCGGAUCCAGCCAUGCCGCGUGUGUGAAGAAGGUCUUCGGAUUGUAAAGCACUUUAAGUUGGGAGGAAGAGUUGUAGAUUAAUACUCUGCAAUUUUGGCGUUACCGACAGAAUAAGCACCGGCUAACUCUGUGCCAGCAGCCGCCGUAACAC